AAGGAAGGCAGCAGGCACGCAAAUUACCCACUCCCGGCACGGGGAGGUAGUGACAAAAAAUAACGAUACGGGACUCAUCCGAGGCCCCGUAAUCGGAAUGAGAACACCCUAAAUCCUUUAACGAGGAUCUAUUGGAGGGCAAGUCUGGUGCCAGCUCCAAUAGCGUAUAUUAAAGUUGUUGCGGUUAAAAAGCUCGUAGUUGGUUCUGCGUACCACGCUGUCGGUUCACCGCCUGCCGGUGCAACUGGCAUGCCGUGGCAUGUCCUGUCGGUGGCGGAUAGGCUUCGCGGCGCGCCCUAUGCGGUACACGCCGUGUAGGCUGCUGCGCCGCGUAGUUCUUGUACGCCGGCUCAAUCCUACCGCGGUGCUCUUUACCGAGUGUCGAGGUAGGCCGACACUGUUUACUUUGAACAAAUUAGAGUGCUUAAAGCAGGCUCUUAAAUCAGCCUAAAUAGUGGUGCAUGGAAUAAUGGAACAGGACCUUGGUUCUAUUUUGUUGGUUUACGGAAUCCAAGGUAAUGAUCAAUAAGGACAGGCGGGGGCAUUCGUAUUGCGACGUUAGAGGUGAAAUUCUUGGAUCGUCGCAAGACGCACUAGAGCGAAAGCAUUUGCCAAGUAUGUCUUAAUUGAUCAAGAACGAAAGUUAGAGGUUCGAAGGCGAUCAGAUACCGCCCUAGUUCUAACCAUAAACGAUGCCAGCCAGCGAUCCGCCGAUGUUCCUCCGAUGACUCGGCGGGGAGCUUCCCCCGGGAAACCAAAGCUUUUGGGUUCCGGGGGAAGUAUGGUUGCAAAGCUGAAACUUAAAGGAAUUGACGGAAGGGCACCACCAGGAGUGGAGCCUGCGGCUUAAUUUGACUCAACACGGGAAACCUCACCAGGCCCGGACAUUGGAAGGAUUGACAGAUCGAUAGCUCUUUC
rnacentral:rRNA from 1 species